CCAAGGCAACCUAGAGAGUGAAUGAGAAGGCAGAAAAAAAUCAAGGCAGUAAGAUGGAGAAGCCAGUCCUUUCUCCUCCACUGCAGGAGUGACAGACCACUAUCUGUUGCCUGAGAGGGGCCAGCCACCAGGAUAAAUUUGAAGAGGCAGUUUGGGAAAGGAAAGUAGCUGUGCUCUGCUUAAACUCUUAUCUGAAGAGACUGAAUAAACAGUCCACUUGAAAGCAGGCAUACUGAAUAUCUAUUGAAAGUUAAGAGACCAUACAGUAUGUUCCAGAAGAAUUAAGAUCCAGAUGUGAUCGAGGAACUUCUCAUGACAGUGGAAAAACUCAGCCUGCCAAUAUUACUAAAGGGGAAAAAAAGGUUUUGAGGUAGAUAUCCUCCAGAUUUUGUUGGACAAGGGGGAA